rnacentral:rRNA from 1 species
GACAGAGGGUGCAAACGUUGUUCGGAAUUACUGGGCGUAAAGCGCGUGUAGGCAGCGUAGCAAGUCGGGUGUGAAAGCCCUGGGCUUAACCUAGGAAGUGCACUCGAAACUGCUGAGCUUGAGUUCUGGAGAGGAAGGCGGAAUUCUCGGUGUAGAGGUGAAAUUCGUAGAUAUCGGGGAGAACACCGGUGGCGAAGGCGGCCCGCUGGCCAGCGACUGACGCUGAGACGCGAAAGCGUGGGGAGCAAACAGGG